rnacentral:rRNA from 1 species
AGUGAACGCUGGCGGUAGGCCUAACACAUGCAAGUCGAACGGCAGCACAGUAAGAGCUUGCUCUUACGGGUGGCGAGUGUCGGACGGGUGAGGAAUACAUCGGAAUCUACUUUUUCGUGGGGGAUAACGUAGGGAAACUUACGCUAAUACCGCAUACGACCUACGGGUGAAAGCAGGGGAUCUUCGGACCUUGCGCGAUUGAAUGAGCCGAUGUCGGAUUAGCUAGUUGGCGGGGUAAAGGCCCACCAAGGCGACGAUCCGUAGCUGGUCUGAGAGGAUGAUCAGCCACACUGGAACUGAGACACGGUCCAGACUCCUAGGGGAGGCAGCAGUGGGGAAUAUUGGACAAUGGGCGCAAGCCUGAUCCAACCAUACCGCGUGGGUGAAGAAGGCCUUCGGGUUGUAGAGCCCUUUUGUUGGGAAAGAAAAGCAGCAGGUUAAUACCCCGCUGUUCUGACGGUACCCAAAGAAUAAGCACCGGCUAACUUCGUG